CCCAAACCACCCUACCUUCCUAAAGGAUGUGAUAUUGUUGCCAAGCCCAUCUUGGGACCAAGUGUGUAAACAUAAAACACGGAGAAAACUACAUGAUAGAGGGUUCAUAUUGAAUGCAUUUGAAAUGCACAAGUCCUGGGACAGCAGGACUGUCACCAUGGAGGUAAAGCAAGCUUUUAAAGAGAAAAUUGCUAUUGAUUCAAGUAUCAAACUGUUGAUGGCUUGUGGGAGCAAGCUGGUUGCUCCAAAAUUGCACAGCGGUCAAGAACUUAGUGGCCUUAUUAUACACAAGAUCUUAAAGUCCAAGGCUGUAUAUGUGAGGCCAUCCUCUGAUCUCCCAUGUAAGUUGGACAGCACAGACUCCGAGGACAGUGUCAUGGAGUUGGAUGAAGAUACAUCAGCAUCAUAUGACCUCAGAACUACUUCUGCCAGUCAUGGCAGUUUAGCUACUAGGAGAAGGAACAGCAGACGCCAAAAUGCAUCUACCAGGCAGGUUUGCGUUGCAAGAAGGGCUAGAGCCAACCAGCCGUCACCACAAGUGACCAGUGACCAGCCCCCACCACAAGUGACCAGUGACCAGCCCCCACCACAAAUGACCAGUGACCAGCCCCCACCACAAAUGACCAGCCCCCACCACAAGUGACCAGUGACCAGCCCCCACCACAAGUGACCAUUGACUUAGAAAGUGAUAACUCAGUGAGCCAGUCACCACUAGUCAGUGACAACUAUGAUGCCUACCUUUCAAUCAUGGGAGCCAUGCCAGACCUAUCCUCUGAUGAGGAAGUUAACAAGGCUAUAUUGGCCAGUCUUGAGAGUCAUCCGUGUCAGAAUGUACAUCUUUUGAUGAACUGCAACAGGCCACAGCACCACUUACAGAUUAUCUGGCCAAUGCUGGGUGUCAAAGGCCUUUGAAACACAUACAGGACAAAUAUCUCUUGGUGGAGGAUAUCAUCAUGUUUCAGGUGGUUCAUCGAGUCAGUGGAGCAUUUGAAAGAUUCAGGGAGAGCAUGAAGACCCUUGGUGUUCUUGAUGCAAUAAGAAUGCACCCAGAUGCUUUCAGACCACUGUUUUGUCACGAGCCAUCCCCACUCACAGCUGCUGUACUAGAACAGCUCUUUGAAAUUCGACUGUCAGCAGUGGGCAGCAACAAAAGAAGGGCAGAGGAAUGUGUUGCAUUUUGGAGGGACUACCUGCUGGAUGUUGAGGAGCAAGAGGGACCCUUGAAACUUGAGGGUAUCCUUCAGUGGAUUUUCUCCAUGAGCUGCCCCUCAGACAAGGCCGUCAAUUCCCCACCGCAAACACGUGCAUUAAUUGCCUGCAGUUGCCAGUCCUGAAAGGUUUUGAGGAUUUCAAGGAAAGUAUGGAUUUCGCUUUAAAAAAUACUCAGGGAUUUGGACAGGAAUAACUUCAGAGAACUCCUUUAUUAUAAUCUGUUGCCAGUUGCACUUUAUUAAACUGAUGAGACAUUGUUGUCUCAUCCUAAUACAUUAUUAUGUAUGUGUUGUUUGAACAAUGGAAAAUUGAAUAAUCGAUUCACUAAAAAAGAAACCAUUUUGUUAUUUUGUUUUAUUUUUCAACAAAGCAUAAAUUGUCACUGGACC